rnacentral:rRNA from 1 species
AGGGUGACAGCCCCGUACACAAAAAUGCACAUACUGUGAGCUCGAUGAGUAGGGCGGGACACGUGGUAUCCUGUCUGAAUAUGGGGGGACCAUCCUCCAAGGCUAAAUACUCCUGACUGACCGAUAGUGAACCAGUACCGUGAGGGAAAGGCGAAAAGAACCCCGGCGAGGGGAGUGAAAAAGAACCUGAAACCGUGUACGUACAAGCAGUGGGAGCACGCUUCGGCGUGUGACUGCGUACCUUUUGUAUAAUGGGUCAGCGACUUAUAUUCUGUAGCAAGGUUAACCGAAUAGGGGAGCCGAAGGGAAACCGAGUCUUAACUGGGCGUUAAGUUGCAGGGUAUAGACCCGAAACCCGGUGAUCUAGCCAUGGGCAGGUUGAAGGUUGGGUAACACUAACUGGAGGACCGAACCGACUAAUGUUGAAAAAUUAGCGGAUGACUUGUGGCUGGGGGUGAAAGGCCAAUCAAACCGGGAGAUAGCUGGUUCUCCCCGAAAGCUAUUUAGGUAGCGCCUCGUGAAUUCAUCUCCGGGGGUAGAGCACUGUUUCGGCAAGGGGGUCAUCCCGACUUACCAACCCGAUGCAAACUGCGAAUACCGGAGAAUGUUAUCACGGGAGACACACGGCGGGUGCUAACGUCCGUCGUGAAGAGGGAAACAACCCAGACCGCCAGCUAAGGUCCCAAAGUCAUGGUUAAGUGGGAAACGAUGUGGGAAGGCCCAGACAGCCAGGAUGUUGGCUUAGAAGCAGCCAUCAUUUAAAGAAAGCGUAAUAGCUCACUGGUCGAGUCGGCCUGCGCGGAAGAUGUAACGGGGCUAAACCAUGCACCGAAGCUGCGGCAGCGACACUAUGUGUUGUUGGGUA